AAUACAUAGGUUAACGAGGCGAACCGGGGGAACUGAAACAUCUAAGUACCCCGAGGAAAAGAAAUCAACCGAGAUUCCCCCAGUAGCGGCGAGCGAACGGGGAGCAGCCCAGAGCCUGAAUCAGCCAGUGUGGUAGUGGAAGUGUCUGGAAAGGCACGCGAUACAGGGUGACAGCCCCGUACACAAAACCGCACCGGUUGUGAGCUCGAUGAGUAGGGCGGGACACGUGGUAUCCUGUCUGAAUAUGGGGGGACCAUCCUCCAAGGCUAAAUACUCCUGACUGACCGAUAGUGAACCAGUACCGUGAGGGAAAGGCGAAAAGAACCCCGGCGAGGGGAGUGAAAAAGAACCUGAAACCGUG
rnacentral:rRNA from 1 species